rnacentral:rRNA from 1 species
GGGUUGUGAGGUUAAGCGACUAAGCGUACACGGUGGAUGCCCUGGCAGUCAGAGGCGAUGAAGGACGUGCUAAUCUGCGAAAAGCGCCGGCGAGGUGAUAUGAACCUUUGACCCGGCGAUGUCCGAAUGGGGAAACCCAGUGCAAUCCGUUGCACUAUCGUUAACUGAAUACAUAGGUUAACGAGGCGAACCGGGGGAACUGAAACAUCUAAGUACCCCGAGGAAAAGAAAUCAACCGAGAUUCCCCCAGUAGCGGCGAGCGAACGGGGAGCAGCCCGGAGUCUGAAUCAGCUUGUGUGUUAGUGGAACGGUCUGGAAAGUCCGACGGUACAGGGUGAUAGUCCCGUACACGAAAGCACACUUGCUGUGAACUCGAAGAGUAGGGCGGGACACGUGGUAUCCUGUCUGAAUAUGGGGGGACCAUCCUCCAAGGCUAAAUACUCCUGACUGACCGAUAGUGAACCAGUACCGUGAGGGAAAGGCGAAAAGAACCCCGGCGAGGGGAGUGAAAAAGAACCUGAAACCGUGUACGUACAAGCAGUGGGAGCCUCUUUAUGGGGUGACUGCGUACCUUUUGUAUAAUGGGUCAGCGACUUAUAUUCUGUAGCAAGGUUAACCGUAUAGGGGAGCCGAAGGGAAACCGAGUCUUAACUGGGCGUUAAGUUGCAGGGUAUAGACCCGAAACCCGGUGAUCUAGCCAUGGGCAGGUUGAAGGUUGGGUAACACUAACUGGAGGACCGAACCGACUAAUGUUGAAAAAUUAGCGGAUGACCUGUGGCUGGGGGUGAAAGGCCAAUCAAACCGGGAGAUAGCUGGUUCUCCCCGAAAGCUAUUUAGGUAGCGCCUCGUGAACUCAUCUUCGGGGGUAGAGCACUGUUUCGGCUAGGGGGCCAUCCCGGCUUACCAACCCGAUGCAAACUACGAAUACCGAAGAAUGUUAUCACGGGAGACACACGGCGGGUGCUAACGUCCGUCGUGAAGAGGGAAACAACCCAGACCGCCAGCUAAGGUCCCAAAGUCAUGGUUAAGUGGGAAACGAUGUGGGAAGGCACAGACAGCCAGGAUGUUGGCUUAGAAGCAGCCAUCAUUUAAAGAAAGCGUAAUAGCUCACUGGUCGAGUCGGCCUGCGCGGAAGAUGUAACGGGGCUAAACCAUGCACCGAAGCUGCGGCAGCGACACUAUGUGUUGUUGGGUAGGGGAGCGUUCUGUAAGCCGUUGAAGGUGUGCUGUGAGGCAUGCUGGAGGUAUCAGAAGUGCGAAUGCUGACAUAAGUAACGAUAAAGCGGGUGAAAAGCCCGCUCGCCGGAAGACCAAGGGUUCCUGUCCAACGUUAAUCGGGGCAGGGUGAGUCGACCCCUAAGGCGAGGCCGAAAGGCGUAGUCGAUGGGAAACAGGUUAAUAUUCCUGUACUUGGUGUUACUGCGAAGGGGGGACGGAGAAGGCUAUGUCAGCCGGGCGACGGUUGUCCCGGUUUAAGCAUGUAGGCGGAGGUUCCAGGUAAAUCCGGUACCUUUUAACGCUGAGGUGUGAUGACGAGGCACUACGGUGCUGAAGUGAUAAAUGCCCUGCUUCCAGGAAAAGCCUCUAAGCAUCAGGUAACACGAAAUCGUACCCCAAACCGACACAGGUGGUCAGGUAGAGAAUACCAAGGCGCUUGAGAGAACUCGGGUGAAGGAACUAGGCAAAAUGGUGCCGUAACUUCGGGAGAAGGCACGCUGAUAUGUAGGUGAAGCCCCUGCGGGCGGAGCUGAAAUCAGUCGAAGAUACCAGCUGGCUGCAACUGUUUAUUAAAAACACAGCACUGUGCAAACACGAAAGUGGACGUAUACGGUGUGACGCCUGCCCGGUGCCGGAAGGUUAAUUGAUGGGGUUAGCGGCAACGCGAAGCUCUUGAUCGAAGCCCCGGUAAACGGCGGCCGUAACUAUAACGGUCCUAAGGUAGCGAAAUUCCUUGUCGGGUAAGUUCCGACCUGCACGAAUGGCGUAAUGAUGGCCAGGCUGUCUCCACCCGAGACUCAGUGAAAUUGAACUCGCUGUGAAGAUGCAGUGUACCCGCGGCAAGACGGAAAGACCCCGUGAACCUUUACUAUAGCUUGACACUGAACACUGGUCCUUGAUGUGUAGGAUAGGUGGGAGGCUUUGAAGCGUGGACGCCAGUCUGCGUGGAGCCAACCUUGAAAUACCACCCUUUAAUGGCUGGUGUUCUAACGUGGACCCGUUACCCGGGUUGCGGACAGUGUCUGGUGGGUAGUUUGACUGGGGCGGUCUCCUCCCAAAGAGUAACGGAGGAGCACGAAGG